CAGGGAAUAGUUUAAGUAGAAUUUCAGCUUUGGGUGUUGAUGGUGAGGUAGUUGGCCUCUUCCCUGA
rnacentral:tRNA from 1 species